UACGUAGGGUGCAAGCGUUAAUCGGAAUUACUGGGCGUAAAGCGUGCGCAGGCGGUUAUGCAAGACAGAUGUGAAAUCCCCGGGCUUAACCUGGGAACCGCAUUUGUGACUGCAUAGCUGGAGUACGGCAGAGGGGGAUGGAAUUCCGCGUGUAGCAGUGAAAUGCGCAGAUAUCAGGAGGAACACCGGUGGCGAAGGCGGGAUCCUGGGCCAGUACUGACGCUGAGGAGCGAAAGCGUGGGGAGCAAACAGG
rnacentral:rRNA from 1 species